rnacentral:rRNA from 1 species
CACGGGGGAGCAAGCGUUGUUCGGAAUCACUGGGCGUAAAGGGCGCGUAGGCGGCGGGGUAAGUCGGGUGUGAAUCUCAGGCUCAACCCUGAAACUGCACUCGAUACUGCUCUGCUUGAGGACUGGAGAGGAGACUGGAAUUCACGGUGUAGCAGUGAAAUGCGUAGAUAUCGUGAGGAAGACCAGUGGCGAAGGCGGGUCUCUGGA